rnacentral:tRNA from 1 species
GAGGGAGUGCCGGAGUGGCCAAACAAAACACGGGGUUUUGAAAGUUAAAAACCUUCGGUUUUAGACCAAACGGGACAGACUCAAGAUCUGUUGGCUUAGUGCCUACUAGGGUUCGAAUCCCUACUCCCUCACCA